CCUACGGGGGGCAGCAGUGAGGAAUAUUGGUCAAUGGACGAGAGUCUGAACCAGCCAAGUAGCGUGAAGGAUGACUGCCCUAUGGGUUGUAAACUUCUUUUAUAUGGGAAUAAAAUGUUCCACGUGUGGGAUUUUGUAUGUACCAUAUGAAUAAGGAUCGGCUAACUCCGUGCCAGCAGCCGCGGUAAUACGUAGGAGGCAAGCGUUAUCCGGAAUGACUGGGCGUAAAGGGUGCGUAGGUGGUUUGGCAAGUUAGUAGCGUAACUCCGGGGCUCAACUCCGGAACUACUACUAAAACUGUCGGA
rnacentral:rRNA from 1 species